GCACUGCUGAGGAGUUCAACCAUAGGAUGAAACGGCCGUCUAGUGC
rfam:Schistosoma margrebowiei strain Zambia genome assembly, scaffold: SMRZ_contig0000639